rnacentral:rRNA from 1 species
AACGAACGCUGGCGGCAUGCCUAACACAUGCAAGUCGAACGAGACCUUCGGGUCUAGUGGCGCACGGGUGCGUAACGCGUGGGAACCUGCCCUUAGGUUCGGAAUAACUCCCCGAAAGGGGUGCUAAUACCGGAUAAUGUCUUCGGACCAAAGAUUUAUCGACUUUGGAUGGGCCCGCGUUGGAUUAGCUAGUUGGUAGGGUAAAAGCCUACCAAGGCGACGAUCCAUAGCUGGUCUGAGAGGAUGAUCAGCCACCCUGGGACUGAGACACGGCCCAGACAGCCACGCGAGACAGUAGUCGGAACUAUUGAAGACUGGACGAGAACCUGACCGGGCAAUGCCGCGGGGGUGAUAAAAGACUUAGGGUUGGAAAGCUCUUUUACCCCGGAUGUAGAUGACAGGACCGGGGUAAUCAGCUCCGGCUAACUCCGUG